rnacentral:rRNA from 1 species
ACUCAAAGGAAUUGACGGGCACCCGCACAAGCGGUGGAGCAUGCUGUUUAAUUCGAAAAUACGCGAAAAACCUUACCUAGAUUUGACAUCCCGGGCAAAGCUAUAGAGAUAUAGUGGAGGCUAUCCCGGAGACAGAUGGUGCAUGGUUGUCGUCAGCUCGUGUCGUGAGAUGUUUGGUUAAGUCCAACAACGAGCGCAACCCCUAUUAUUAAUUGCUAACAUUCAGUUGAGAACCUUAAUAAUACUGCCGGUGCAAGCCGGAGGAAGGUGGGGAUGAGGUCAAAUCAUCAUGCCUCUUACAUCUAGGGCUACAGGCGUGCUACAAUGGCUGGUACAACGAGUCGCAACACAGUGAUGUGGAGCUAAUCUCUUAAAGCCAGUCCCAGUUCGGAUUGGAGUCUGCAACUCGACUCCAUGAAGUUGGAAUCGCUAGUAAUCCCGAAUCAGAAUGUCGGGGUGAAUACGUUCUCGGGUGUUGUACACACCGCCCGU